CCAGACUCCUACGGGAGGCAGCAGUGGGGAAUAUUGCACAAUGGGCGGAAGCCUGAUGCAGCAACGCCGCGUGCGGGAUGACGGCCUUCGGGUUGUAAACCGCUUUCGCCUGUGACGAAGCGUGAGUGACGGUAAUGGGUAAAGAAGCACCGGCUAACUACGUGCCAGCAGCCGCGGUGAUACGUAGGGUGCGAGCGUUGUCCGGAUUUAUUGGGCGUAAAGGGCUCGUAGGUGGUUGAUCGCGUCGGAAGUGUAAUCUUGGGGCUUAACCCUGAGCGUGCUUUCGAUACGGGUUGACUUGAGGAAGGUAGGGGAGAAUGGAAUUCCUGGUGGAGCGGUGGAAUGCGCAGAUAUCAGGAGGAACACCAGUGGCGAAGGCGGUUCUCUGGGCCUUUCCUGACGCUGAGGAGCGAAAGCGUGGGGAGCGAACAGGCUUAGAUACCCUGGUAGUCCACGCUGUAAACGGUGGGUACUAGGUGUGGGGUCCAUUCCAC
rnacentral:rRNA from 1 species